rnacentral:lncRNA from 1 species
UUUGAUCAAGUUUUGAUUUGUUAGUCUAGUAUAAUUUCUAUUUGUUUGUGUUAGCUUUCCCUGAUUAGAUUUAUUGGAAUCCUUUAAUUGUUUGGCUUUGGGUCUGUUUGGAUUUGGGCAGUAAUUCUAAGAGGUUUCAGGGGCAAUUUGGGCAUAGGAAAAUGGCAAAUUUAUUAAAAAUGGUAAAUUCUGAAAUAAAGUAAGGGUAGUAUAGGAAUUGUAGGGGCAUAGAACAUCCUAGAAUAGGGCUCUAGUGCACAUUUCAAUAGAACUUAGGGAAUACUUGAAGAACAAGUUAGGAAAUUAAGGUCCAAAGUGAAAAAUGAGCAGGGGUAACAAAAGAAAAGAAAAAAUUUGAGGUUUGCCCUAGUUCUUGCCUAUAUAAAGGCAUUCAAUGCCUUGUGAAAAGGGCUAGAUUUUCCAGCUAAAGUAAAAAAGAAAAGAAAAAAUAUGAGGUUUGCCCUAGUUCUUGCCUAUAUAAAGGCAUUCAAUUCCUUGUGAAAGGGGGCUAGAUUUUUCAGCUCAAGAACUCACGAGAAAGAACUCUUUCAACCCUAAAAUUCAAGAACAAAAAUCAUAUUUCCCCUGCAUUUUCAAUUUUAGUUUGGUUCAACCUUUUCAGCUCAGGGAAUCCUAUAAGAAAAAUCCAAUUCUUCAUUUUUAUUCAGUUCUAUAUUUUUCUUCAGUUAUUCAAAAAAUACAAAAAAAGUAUAUAAAUAGAAAAAUUAGAAAACAACAAAAGGGAAAAGAUCAUUGUUUCAUUGAAUGAACAUGGAUUGAUCAGUGUUGGUUCAUAUUAAUUAUGGGUUUACUGGUUGGUAUUGGAUGCAAUUUCGAUUCAACUAGGUGCUAAUUGAGUUGGUCUGUUUGGAUUUUACUCCAAG